UACGUAGGGUGCAAGCGUUGUCCGGAAUUAUUGGGCGUAAAGAGCUCGUAGGCGGUUUGUUGCGUCGGCUGUGAAAUCCCGAGGCUCAACCUCGGGUCUGCAGUCGAUACGAGCAAACUAGAGUGUUGCAGGGGAGACUGGAAUUCCUGGUGUAGCGGUGAAAUGCGCAGAUAUCAGGAGGAACACCGGUGGCGAAGGCGGGUCUCUGGGCAGCAACUGACGCUGAGGAGCGAAAGCGUGGGGGGCGAACAGG
rnacentral:rRNA from 1 species